AAUAGACCGCUGAAUUUACUUUUGUACAUUAUGUCUGCCUUAUUCAGGUGACUAUAGCAUCAGGGUUCCACCUCUUCCCAUUCCGAACAGAGAAGUUAAGCCUGAUCACGCCGAUGGUACUGCGUAACAGUGGGAGAGUAGGUAGUCGCCGUUUUUUUCAGAUGGUUCAUCCCUUUCGGUCGAAAGACCGGAGGGGAUGACUUGUUUUAUACGGGGGGCGGAGGAAAGGGAGCGCCAGGCUGCCC
rnacentral:rRNA from 1 species